UGUGUGUGUGUGUGUGUGUGUGUGUGUGUGUGUGUGUGUGUGAUGUGUAUGGUGUGUGUUGUGAUGUCACGAGAGGCUGCGUUCUGGAGGGGCGCUACAUUCCCCUGAGAUGGCUGCAGUCACGGACAGCUUUGGCUCCAUCUGCUGGUGGAGUUGGAAACUCCACCCCUCAAACACACAAUAUCCCAAGACACCUGAGACCGAUCAGGGCCUGAUGAGCUGAAGGGCUUUUUAAGGCCCAGAGACACAGUUGGUGUCAGAGUGGGGUUUGGGAGACAAGCUCCACGUUGUGCUCUCAGAGUCACUACAGACCGUCGAAGUGGCACUUUCCACGUGAAGUACUGGAAGACUGGAAUACUUACCUGAAGACUGGAAUACUUACCUGAAGACGGGAAUACUUACCGCCAGAUUGGCCACGGGCUGCGGUGCUGACUAAAGUAAGGCUGAAGACUUGUUUUCAAGAAGAGAUUUACCUGAGGGAAUCGGGACUAUGAUUUCACGUUUGAAGAGACAUUGUUUAAGUUUUGACGGUUGAAAGAUCAACCUUAUCCUUAGUUACCUUUUUGAACUUGGCAUACCUUUUUGUUAAUUCCCAAGAACUUUAUUAAAAACCUUCGUUGUACUCUAA